rnacentral:rRNA from 1 species
UACGUAGGGGGCAAGCGUUGUCCGGAAUUAUUGGGCGUAAAGAGCGCGUAGGCGGUCCGAUAAGUCGGCUGUGAAAGUCAGGGGCUCAACCCUUGGAAGCCGGCCGAUACUGUCGGACUAGAGUCCGGAAGAGGCGAGUGGAAUUCCCGGUGUAGCGGUGAAAUGCGCAGAUAUCAGGAAGAACACCCGUGGCGAAGGCGGCUCUCUGGAACGCAACUGACGCUGAGACGCGAAAGCGUGGGGAGCAAACAGG